rnacentral:lncRNA from 1 species
CCAGGCGUCCAGUUCAUCUGUCCGUCAUGUCGCUGUCAGCGCCGCAUGGCAGUAGGCUUGUCUUUGUGUGUUCCUGGAGCUUUGAUUACCUCCCUGCACCGCGCGCUCGCUCUUGUGCCUGCUGGAUCUCUGGCCCUCUCGCUUGUUCAAGGCCUUGAACACCUGCUGGUGGCUGGAGCAAAACAGCCCAGGCAGGCGAAGGCGCGGCCAGCCCAGCAGAGAGAGCUAGAAUCAUUGGCAUUGCUAGCACGUGGGUACCAUUCUCUGCUGCUGCUGCUGCCCCGGCACUUCUCCCGCCUUGCGUUUCUCCCAAUGCGAUGUAGCAAGAGAGGGAGCAGGAGGCGCUUUUGCAGCGGGCGAUGAAAUCCUGGCAGCUAAUUGCAGUCGUGGGAGAUGCCCUUCAGGAUAUCAAAGGCGACUCCAAUAACUGCGCGCAGACAGAGGACAGAAAGGUAG